CAAUAGCGUAUAUUAAAGUUGUUGCAGUUAAAAAGCUCGUAGUUGGAUUUCGGGACGGGCCAGUUGGUCCGCCGCAAGGUGUGUUACUGACUGGUCUGUUCUUCUUCGCAAAGACUGCGUGUGCUCCUCGUUGAGUGUGCGUAGGAUUUACGACGUUUACUUUGAAAAAAUUAGAGUGUUCAAAGCAGGCUAUCGCUUGAAUACAUGAGCAUGGAAUAAUGGAAUAGGACUUUGGUCCUAUUUUGUUGGUUUCUAGGACCGAAGUAAUGAUUAAGAGGGACAAUUGGGGGCAUCCGUAUUUCGUUGUCAGAGGUGAAAUUCUUGGAUUUACGAAAGACGAACAACUGCGAAAGCACUUGCCAAGAGUGUUUUCAUUAA
rnacentral:rRNA from 1 species